AGUCUGCCUGAGACUUGAGCUGGCCCUGCCUGUUUAAACGGAAAGGACACAGAUCCUGUCUGUUCAAUGUAUAAAAAAAAAUCCCGAUCAGAGCAGGGAGAGAAAGGGGCAGACAGAGAGUGUGUAUGUGUGCGAGAGAGAGAGAACCCGUGUUACAGAAAGAAAAGCCAACAGGAUCCUCUAUGUAUAUAAAGAUGGCCACGUUAGCUAACGGACAACCAGACAAUAGCAGCCUGAACAGCAAUCACAGCAACCCAAACACCAACGGGCACAUGAACGGAUUAAACCACAGUCCUGGGAGCACUUCCACCAUCCCUAUGAAGGAUCACGAUGCCAUCAAGCUCUUCAUUGGGCAGAUCCCCCGCAAUCUGGAUGAGAAGGACCUGAAGCCUCUGUUUGAGGAGUUCGGCAAGAUCUACGAGCUGACUGUGCUGAAGGACAGGUUCACUGGCAUGCACAAAGGCUGCGCCUUCCUUACGUACUGCGAGCGAGAGUCCGCCAUAAGAGCCCAGAGUGCUCUGCAUGAGCAGAAGACCCUGCCUGGGAUGAACCGGCCAAUCCAGGUGAAGCCAGCGGACAGCGAGAGUAGAGGAGAAGACAGAAAACUUUUUGUGGGUAUGCUGAAUAAGCAGCAGUCAGAAGAUGAUGUCCGCCGACUAUUCGAAGCCUUCGGGAACAUUGAAGAAUGUACGAUCCUUCGGGGACCGGAUGGAAACAGCAAAGGAUGUGCGUUUGUGAAGUAUUCAUCGCACGCGGAAGCACAGGCAGCCAUUAAUGCUCUUCAUGGAAGCCAGACAAUGCCGGGGGCGUCCUCGAGCUUGGUGGUGAAGUUUGCUGACACAGACAAAGAACGUACAAUGAGGCGCAUGCAGCAAAUGGCCGGGCAGAUGGGAAUGUUUAACCCCAUGGCAAUCCAGUUCGGGGCCUACGGUGCUUACGCUCAAGCACUGAUGCAGCAGCAGGCCGCCAUUAUGGCUUCCGUCGCACAGGGUGGAUACCUGAAUCCCAUGGCCGCCUUCGCAGCCGCCCAGAUGCAGCAAAUGGCGGCUCUCAACAUGAAUGGUCUGGCGGCUGCUCCAAUGACGCCAACAUCAGGUGGGAGCACACCGCCAGGGAUCACCGCACCAGCCGUGCCUAACAUUCCAUCUCCACUUGGGGUGAAUGGCUUCACCGGUCUCCCACCGCAGGCUAAUGGACAGCCCACUGCAGAAGCUGUGUUCGCGAAUGGGAUCCAUCCCUACCCAGCUCAGAGUCCUACAGCGGCAGACCCCUUACAGCAAGCCUACGCUGGAGUACAGCAAUACGCAGGUCCUGCUUAUCCUGCUGCGUACGGACAGAUUGGACAAGCCUUCCCUCAGCCAGCUCCUAUGAUCCCACAGCAACAGAGAGAAGGACCCGAGGGAUGCAACCUGUUUAUCUACCAUCUGCCCCAGGAAUUUGGGGACGCGGAGCUGAUGCAGAUGUUCCUGCCUUUCGGUAAUGUCAUCUCCUCGAAAGUGUUUGUGGAUCGGGCGACAAACCAAAGUAAAUGCUUUGGUUUUGUGAGUUUUGACAAUCCUGCCAGUGCCCAAGCUGCCAUCCAAGCCAUGAAUGGCUUUCAGAUUGGCAUGAAGAGGCUGAAGGUGCAGCUCAAGAGGCCGAAAGAUGCCAACCGCCCUUAUUGAGAAAUUUCAGGAUCCUCGGGGAACAAGGACUAGCACAGACCCAACCAAUGGUCUCGCGCCGAAAAAGUUAACGUAAUGACGUGAGAAUGGAGAAAAGAGCCCCCCAGUCCGGCAGGAACUGAGUGGGCCGUAUUCUAACAAUACAACAUACAUAUAUAAAUAUAUAUGAUUGAGAAGCGCUGGAUCACAACUUUGACAUAUCAGCAAGUACCAAUUGUGCUGAGGACUUCAGACUUUUCUUCUCCUUUGAUUGUUAAGCCUGUAAUAUUUCUUCAAUGAAAGUAUCGCAUCUGCUUACGUGGAUGGGAACUCAAGUCGGAAACAUCAGACAGGAUCAAGAUCAAUGGGAAUUUCCGAACAGACACUGAUCAUACCACACAAAAAGGCUUUUGCUUCCAACUGGAAACCUGAAAUCUGACAAGGAGUGCCUGUCUGCUACCAUGAUCUAUGUUGCGAUGGUAAACCCAAAGCAACUGUUACAAGAAGCAUUGUAUCUGUCAUUCCUUAGCUAUUUAGGGACCAAAGGACCAAACUUUUUAUCGCAGACUUGUAGCUGUAUGUAAAAUAUGGAGUUAACUUCCUACAUCUCAGCUGUUCUUAAAACAGUUUGAGAUCAAUUAUAUGAAAUAUGUACAAAAAAAACUUACAUGCUUUUAAAAUGGCAAGAUAAUAGUUAUUUGAUACUAUAGAAGGUUCUUUGGUUAUACUAAUUCAAGUAUGAAAAUUUCAUAUGGUUUUCUGUAUAUUAUGAAAGGAUAAGUAUGUAGAGAUUAAAUAGAGGAUAGCUAUUUAAAAAAAGCAAAUAAAAUAAAACACAAAAAAAAAGAAAAAAAAAAGAAAAAUAAUGAAAAAUAAAAAUGCAUUAGAAAGACCGUAGUGGAAAAAAAAAGUUUGUAAAUGCUUCUAUCUCCCUUUAAAAUCCUAAUAGUUGUACAGAUUUAACAGAAAAGUUUAAGAUACCUAUAUAAUAGUUAAAGAAAUUAGAGAGCAAGAAAAAAAAACAGAAAAAAAACAACAAAAAAAACAAAAAAAUAGACAUUAGCAUUAUGGCUAAAAGAAAGAUGUUGUAGAACUGUAAUUUUUUGUAGAGUUUAGACUAAGCAUAAAUUCCUACUAUUUGCCAACUGCAUACUGUAUUGAGGAGGACAUGAGAGGCUGUGAUGGCAGUAUUUAACUGCAAGCAUUCCAUCUAUUAAAAAUAAAACAUGACUCUUGUAAAAUGAUGCAAAUGAAAUAUUAAAGUUACAACAGCUAUUGUCUUUUUAUCAGUUAAUUUUAACUUGAAGAAUGACACGGCUAUAGCUUCAUAUCUUCAUAACCUGCUAUUUGCUAACUCUCCAAUCAUCCUCUGCUUUAGUAGUUUCCAUAUUUGUUCUAGACCUUCAGGGCAAAAGAUAGCCUAGAACCUUAAUGUUAAAAAAAGUAAAAAAAAAAAUAUAUACAAUCUUUGAAGAAUUUCUGAAACUGUUUACAAGGAAUUUUGAAAAACAGGGGAUGUUUAAAACGAUGCUGGCUCUGUUUUUCUGUAAAUACAUUUGCAUAUUUUGUAGGUCUUUUAAUUGUAAUGAUAGAGAAAAAAACAAGGAAAAUUAUUUAAAUGAAAGCACGAUAUUUAUCUUUGGUAAUUGACUUUAGAGCAGUUUAAAAAAAAUAAAAAAAUAAGAUGUUGCUUUAGAAUAAAUUUCAGAUUCAGAAAAAAGUCAAUGAACUAUUUAAAACACAUAUAUUUUAAAAUAUAUCAUAUUUAUUCUAAUUUAUUUCCACUGUAUGAAUUAUUGAUUUUAUCUUCUUACUUUGUUCUCACUUCUUUUAGUUGAACUAAAAGGGUGCAAUGAUCAUGUUUUAAUUUUUUUUAUAAAUAUAUAUAAAUAUAAAUAUAUAUAUAAAUACACUUGAGAUUCUUAAAGUAUUAUCUCCUGCAAUGGAUCAUGAUUUUAUCCUUACCUUCUGUUUCCAAAUAAAGUUAACUGUUAAAUUUUAGAGGGGAUGGAACACUGUGAUGUAACCCUCGCCCUGGACACAAAAUGGGUCGGUUCUCUCAAACCUGAUUUUGUCAUCAUCCAUUUUAGUUAACCCAGUGUUGCCAUGUUGCAGGCCUGUCUUGCAUCAAAAGGGUAGUUUUUCAAUAUAUAUAUUUUUUAGACUAAUAGCUGAAGUCUGUGAUCCUUGCAUUUGUUCCUUAGAAUGCUGGCCAGCCUUUUCUAUAAUUAGGGAGCAAAUUCUGUUUAUUUAAUUUUUUUCUUUCUUCACCAAUUCUAGGGUGUUCUCAUUCUUUCUCUGUUCCAUUCCUUUAAUUCCUGCUGUUAGUAAGUACAAGUGUGUACAGCAGCUGCAUUUCCAUCCAACUGCUCUUUUCACUCUCAAUUACCUUAAAAAAUCUCCUUGUAAUCUUCUGUAAUUAUUGAAUGACGCUUUUCAGCUUAGCCCUAAAUAAAGCACAGUUUAAAAAAAA